rnacentral:rRNA from 1 species
AUUGAACGCUGGCGGCAUGCUUUACACAUGCAAGUCGAACGGUAACAGGCCGCAAGGUGCUGACGAGUGGCGAACGGGUGAGUAAUGCAUCGGAACGUGCCCAGUCGUGGGGGAUAACUACUCGAAAGAGUAGCUAAUACCGCAUACGAUCUAUGGAUGAAAGCGGGGGACCGUAAGGCCUCGCGCGAUUGGAGCGGCCGAUGUCAGAUUAGGUAGUUGAUGGGGUAAAGGCUCACCAAGCCAACGAUCUGUAGCUGGUCUGAGAGGACGACCAGCCACACUGGGACUGAGACACGGCCCAGACUCCUACGGGAGGCAGCAGUGGGGAAUUUUGGACAAUGGGCGCAAGCCUGAUCCAGCAAUGCCGCGUGCAGGAAGAAGGCCUUCGGGUUGUAAACUGCUUUUGUACGGAACGAAACGGCUCUGGUUAAUACCCGGGGCUAAUGACGGUACCGUAAGAAUAAGCACCGGCUAACUACGUG